rnacentral:rRNA from 1 species
UACGUAGGUGGCAAGCGUUGUCCGGAUUUACUGGGCGUAAAGAGCGCGCAGGCGGUCGUUCAAGUCGCGUGUGAAAGCCCCCGGCUCAACUGGGGAGGGUCACGCGAUACUGAUCGACUCGAAGGCAGGAGAGGGAAGUGGAAUUCCCGGUGUAGUGGUGAAAUGCGUAGAUAUCGGGAGGAACACCAGUGGCGAAGGCGGCGCGCUGGACCACUACUGACGCUGAGGAACGAAAGCUAGGGGAGCAAACAGG